CCGGCAGGUCGCGCGGAGGCGCGUUCGCUGAGCCCUCGGGGAGCGCGAACGGCGUCGAGCGGCGGACGGGUGAGUAACUGCCUAGGAACGUUGCCCUGACGUGGGGGACUAACCAUUGGAAACGAUGGCUAAUACCGCAUAUGCCUACGGGCCAAAGAGGGGGACCUUCGGGCCUCUCGCGUCAGGAUAUGCCUAGGUGGGAUUAGCUAGUUGGUGAGGUAAGGGCUCACCAAGGCGACGAUCCCUAGCUGGUCUGAGAGGAUGAUCAGCCACACUGGAACUGAGACACGGUCCAGACUCCUACGGGAGGCAGCAGUGGGGAAUAUUGCACAAUGGGCGCAAGCCUGAUGCAGCCAUGCCGCGUGUGUGAAGAAGGCCUUCGGGUUGUAAAGCACUUUCAGUCGUGAGGAAGGUAGUGUAGUUAAUAGCUGCAUUAUUUGACGUUAGCGACAGAAGAAGCACCGGCUAACUCCGUGCCAGCAGCCGCGGUAAUACGAGGGUGCGAGCGUUAAUCGGAAUUACUGGGCGUAAAGCGCAUGCAGGCUGGUUUGUUAACCCAAUUUGUGAAAGCCCGGGGCUCAACCUCGGAACUUGCAUUUUGAAACUGGCAGACUACAGUACUGUAGCAGUGGGGUAGAAUUUCAGCUGUCCCGCUGAAAUGCGUAGCCCUCUUAACUCCCCCCGGGUCGAAGUCGGCCCCCUGGCCAGAUACG
rnacentral:rRNA from 1 species